AAUGGGCGAAAGCCUGAUCCAGCCAUGCCGCGUGAGUGAUGAAGGCCCUAGGGUUGUAAAGCUCUUUCAACGGUGAAGAUAAUGACGGUAACCGUAGAAGAAGCCCCGGCUAACUUCGUGCCAGCAGCCGCGGUAAUACGAAGGGGGCUAGCGUUGUUCGGAAUUACUGGGCGUAAAGCGCACGUAGGCGGAUUGUUAAGUGAGGGGUGAAAUCCCAGGGCUCAACCCUGGAACUGCCUUUCAUACUGGCAAUCUAGAGUCCGGAAGAGGUGAGUGGAAUUCCGAGUGUAGAGGUGAAAUUCGUAGAUAUUCGGAGGAACACCAGUGGCGAAGGCGGCUCACUGGUCCGGUACUGACGCUGAGGUGCGAAAGCGUGGGGAGCAAA
rnacentral:rRNA from 1 species